AGCUUCGGCCAUCCGGCGAGGGAUGGGCCCGCGGUGCAUUAGCUAGUUGGUGGGGUAAAGGCCCACCAAGGCGACGAUGCGUAGCUGGUCUGAGAGGAUGAUCAGCCACACUGGGACUGAGACACGGCCCAGACUCCUACGGGAGGCAGCAGCCAGGAAUCUUGGGCAAUGGGCGCAAGCCUGACCCAGCAACACCGUGUGGGCGAUGAAGGCCUUCGGGUCGUAAAGCCCUGUUGAUAGGGACGAAGGGCGAAGGGUUAAUAGCCC
rnacentral:rRNA from 1 species